GGUCUUAUAGUGUAGUGGUGAUCACACCGGAUUUUGAAACAAAUUCGAAAUCCUCCUCACGGAAUUUCCGGUAACCCCGGUUCGAAUCCGGGUAAGACCU